CACUGAAUGAAGGAAAGAGAUCCAGCUCCAGCCAGGCUGCACUGGUUUAGUUUUUGCUCUGGGGUGUGGAAGUGGCCAAAUGUCUUCAUUUCACUGGGCCGCAGUCUUCCCAUUUGUAAAGUGGGAAUAAUGAUGCUGACCUGGUGAGCAUCUUCGAGGAGAAAGAAAGAGAAGAUCCAAAGCAUGAAUAGUGGAAACCCUUCAGGCAAUGUACUCGUCUGGACAAAGGCGGUGAGCAGUCUGCUCUGCUGUGUACUCCCACCAUGAUGUGCUGCCCUCUCGAAUGGCCCAAAGCAAACGAGCCACUACUUCUUGAACUGGAACUUCCAGAACCAUGAACCAAAAUAAACCUUUUCUCUUUAUGUUAAUUGCCUGUGGCAUUUUAUCAUAGUGGUGGA
ensembl:lncRNA